UCAAGAUGGACUCCCGUGUGAGGGUCUCUCAGAGGUUGGCAGGACACGCAAAGGUAUGGUGUCUCCUUCCUCCUCUUGGCCCCUCCAGAAUUCCAUUUUCGCAGCACCAGCACCAGCAGCACCAUGUUCCUUAUCAGGACCUCCUGUUGUGAGACAAGCUCUUGCAAGCGGUUAUCCUCGACCAAGGGAAGAAUGACUGAGUCGCAGACAUCAAGACAAAGAGAGUCAACCAGAUGUUGCCCAAGACAGAAAUCAGGAUGGCCAAGAUUGAAGCUGCUUGUGAAGGGGAGCAUCCGACUGACUGCGCCUGGGUUCUGUGCUCCCUCCUGGGCCAGGGGAGGGCAGGGUAACUUGUCUGACAAUGUGUUCAAGGCUGCAUGAACUCGGGGAGCUGUGACCAGAAAAAGGGGGGAAUGGAUUUGGGGCAGUAAAAAUAUUUGUUGUCGAUCAACUAUAACUGCAAGGAUGGCUCAGAAGAUGAUGCCAAAUCAUUUCCACUCUGUUUCUAAGAUGACCUUGAAUAUUAGAGCAAGGCACAGAUGGGAGGUACAGGCAUGUGACAACUUGGAGCAAUGACUCAGAAUCCUUCCCCUCCAACUGGAUGCUGCAGGGCAGGAGCUGAUGUCUGCCUUUGAUUUCUUUGGUAGACCCUGCAGAGGGCUGUGCACAUGAUUCUAAUGAAUUUCCUCUACUGGUGAGAGGAUACAAAGGGCCCCUUAUCCUGGGUAGGUACGCACCUAAGCUGACACAGUGGACCCUCUCCAGCCUCCGGCAAACGAUCUUUCCUAGAGGAUAAACAUUCCUCCUGGUUGGAGAGAGUGAAGACAUUUUUACUUGGAGUCUAGCGUAUCCAGCAAAACAAGAAAACAAAGCAGUCGUCUAGAUAAAUACAUUUGCUUCUUCUCUGGCCUUGAAAAUAAUAUCAGAUCAUCGCACUGAGAGCCAAUGUCAUCUUCUGGAUCUUGUCAUUAUUUGGGCAAAAUCUCUUUGGUUUAUAGAUUCAAAGUAUCAAAAAAAUGUAAGACAACCUGUUAAGCUCAUUGAGUUAUACCUCUCACUUUCCAAAUAAGGAAAUUGGGGCUCACAGAGGUAGAGGGAGCAACAUGUUGAAUGAGUAGCAGAGAGAGGAACAGGGUGAGAAUCUAAACCUUCUGACUUCCCAAUCUAAUUGUUUUUAUAGCUUUUCCAAGUUAAUAGAUCAAAUUUCAACUAGUUCCCUGUCUUUCCUGAUAAACCCUCUGAUCCAUUAAUGAUUUAAUUAACAUCUGAUUUAUCCACCAGCACAUUCUGGUUCUCCGGUGCAGUGUGAAAGUUUAUGAAACUCACUUGAUUUUUUUCUUCUAUCCCCGGGCCAUCUUCGGGUCACUUGUCUUUAUUAGUGCUUCAUUGUAAAUCACUAAAGCAUGCCCAGCUCUUCCACUUCUUUCCUUUCCUCAAGUUGGAAAAAACUAUUUUUUUUCCUAAUUAACC